AGUGCUGCUGGUAUGCGGCUCUGCUCUUGUCAUCAGCUUCCGCUAUGAGCAGCAGAGGGCUCUUCAGGCAGCACGGACCCAGGUGAACGAGCUGACAGAGGCUGAAGACAAACUGGCAGGCUUUUCACUUUCUGGACCAGAAUUUGCCAUCUCUGCCUGGAAAGAAAAAGGAACAUUGACAACGACUCCAUUUAAGUUUACUGCUUUUAUUUUUAACUGUAGACUGGAAGCAGCCGGUCGCUGGUGCACAGGCAGAGUUCCUGAAAUGUUGUAAAGACUCUCCAGGGUGGACACCUGCACACAACACAAACAAGGGAGCCAUCAAGCUGCCAUUUAGUACAUUUUAUCUGAGCGUCAACUCUGAAAAUGGACAGCCUUAAGGAACCUCUGCAUGGUUUUGGAGGGCUGGUUCCUUUGUCCAGCAGGUGGCAGAUUUUCCAACUGCAUCCUUACUGGAAACUGCUCUGCAGGAAGAGGCAGGCAUACAAAAAACAGGUUCAAAACUUUGUAGAUCUUCACCAGUCGAUCCAUGCUGCAGAAACUAGGUCCUUUGGCCCCACCUGGUGGACAAAAGGAAGAACAUGCUGAAAUGUUUGACGUGUCAAACAUUUGGACGU